rnacentral:misc_RNA from 1 species
GAAUACAAAUCUCUACCUAUUUAGGAUCAUACGCUAAAUAAGAAUAUAUAAAAUAUGUUGACUUUGCAUAACACUCCCCUUAAGUUGGAGCAUAGAAUUUCAUCAAUUCCAACACUCCUCCUUGAUGAGGUUCUUAUUGAAGCUAAUAACUCACUUACAAUGGCUUACAAAUUGCACAACUAGCAGCUCACAAGGCAGAUUCAAAAACAUCUAUACAAAGGCACCAACACAGAACAACUCUCAGGAUUGCACUUCCCUCUCCAAAGGCAACACCGACGAGGAAACAUCAGCACAAAGCAACUCAUAGUGUUGCAUUUCCCUUCCAAAGGCAAUGUCGGCAAUGAAAAAGACAAAACAGUUGGUGAAUCUUUAUUCAACAGCUCAUAGGAGCUGCGAUACGGUGGUUUCCAAACCCAAAUACCCACAGAACAAUACUAAACAGAAGGUUAAAACACCAGCAAGCUUGCAAAAAACACACCCAACCAAAAUAGAAUAUUGAAUGGCAGAACAACCAAAUGGUCACUCAAAACAGAGCACAACACCGAAAGUUAGAAAAUCUAAAAACAGGUCACCAGAGGUCUUGUGGCUGAUAAGGAUGGACUCCUCUCAUGAAGGCAACGUUGGAGGAGAAGAUCGGAACCAGAAAAAGUGAAGCACGGUCCUCCACGCACUAGCGUGAGAGGGAGAGGCUAAAAACAAAGAAUUGCGCAUCAAGAAAAAAAAAAUUCCAAGGCUAGGAAUCAUAAACAAUAACCCCCACGGAUAAGGCCAAUGAACAUUACCUGUGAACAAGGCCAAUGAACAAUACCUGUAAAACAUUACUGAUGAACCGUGCCAAUGAACAGUAUUGAAGCCUUGAUGAAUCGAUAGCUUUGAUACUAUGUUAAAAAUUUAAGAAUUAGAAGAAUAAGAAAGAAAGAAAGGGAGGGAAGAGAACCGCAAAGAUUAUAUCUUUAUUAUCUUUUCUUCUAUCUUUGAUAGAAUAGAAGACCACAUAUUUAUAUACAAACAUCUCUAAAAUCAUUUUAAUUAAUUAGGAAUACAAAUCUCUAUCUAAAUAGGAAUAUAAAUCCUAUGCUAACUAGGAAUAUAUAUAAAAUAUAUUGACUUUCUAUAACACUCCCCCUUAAAUUGGAUUGGAGCAUGGAAUCUCAUCAAU